rnacentral:rRNA from 4 species
GGGUUGUGAGGUUAAGCGACUAAGCGUACACGGUGGAUGCCCUGGCAGUCAGAGGCGAUGAAGGACGUGCUAAUCUGCGAUAAGCGCCGGUAAGGUGAUAUGAACCGUUAUAACCGGCGAUUUCCGAAUGGGGAAACCCAGUGUGACUCGUCACACUAUCAUUAACUGAAUCCAUAGGUUAAUGAGGCGAACCGGGGGAACUGAAACAUCUAAGUACCCCGAGGAAAAGAAAUCAACCGAGAUUCCCCCAGUAGCGGCGAGCGAACGGGGAGGAGCCCAGAGCCUGAAUCAGCAUGUGUGUUAGUGGAAGCGUCUGGAAAGGCGCGCGAUACAGGGUGACAGCCCCGUACACAAAAGCGCAUGUGCUGUGAGCUCGAUGAGUAGGGCGGGACACGUGGUAUCCUGUCUGAAUAUGGGGGGACCAUCCUCCAAGGCUAAAUACUCCUGACUGACCGAUAGUGAACCAGUACCGUGAGGGAAAGGCGAAAAGAACCCCGGCGAGGGGAGUGAAAAAGAACCUGAAACCGUGUACGUACAAGCAGUGGGAGCACAGGUUUACCUGUGUGACUGCGUACCUUUUGUAUAAUGGGUCAGCGACUUAUAUUCUGUAGCAAGGUUAACCGAAUAGGGGAGCCGGAGGGAAACCGAGUCUUAAUUGGGCGUUAAGUUGCAGGGUAUAGACCCGAAACCCGGUGAUCUAGCCAUGGGCAGGUUGAAGGUUGGGUAACACUAACUGGAGGACCGAACCGACUAAUGUUGAAAAAUUAGCGGAUGACCUGUGGCUGGGGGUGAAAGGCCAAUCAAACCGGGAGAUAGCUGGUUCUCCCCGAAAGCUAUUUAGGUAGCGCCUCGUGAACUCAUCUCCGGGGGUAGAGCACUGUUUCGGCUAGGGGGCCAUCCCGGCUUACCAACCCGAUGCAAACUGCGAAUACCGGAGAAUGUUAUCACGGGAGACACACGGCGGGUGCUAACGUCCGUCGUGAAGAGGGAAACAACCCAGACCGCCAGCUAAGGUCCCAAAGUCAUGGUUAAGUGGGAAACGAUGUGGGAAGGCCCAGACAGCCAGGAUGUUGGCUUAGAAGCAGCCAUCAUUUAAAGAAAGCGUAAUAGCUCACUGGUCGAGUCGGCCUGCGCGGAAGAUGUAACGGGGCUAAACCAUGCACCGAAGCUGCGGCAGCGAACGUAUCACUUAAAGCGAUUCAGCGGGUUACGAUUGACGGAGCGAAGCGACGUCAAAGCGUAUACAAAGUCGAGUCGGUUUAAGGAUACGUUCGUUGGGUAGGGGAGCGUUCUGUAAGCCUGCGAAGGUGGCCUGUGAGGGUUGCUGGAGGUAUCAGAAGUGCGAAUGCUGACAUAAGUAACGAUAAAGCGGGUGAAAAGCCCGCUCGCCGGAAGACCAAGGGUUCCUGUCCAACGUUAAUCGGGGCAGGGUGAGUCGACCCCUAAGGCGAGGCCGAAAGGCGUAGUCGAUGGGAAACGGGUUAAUAUUCCCGUACUUGGUGUUACUGCGAAGGGGGGACGGAGAAGGCUAUGUUGGCCGGGCGACGGUUGUCCCGGUUUAAGCGUGUAGGCUGGUUUUCCAGGCAAAUCCGGAAAAUCAAGGCUGAGGCGUGAUGACGAGGCACUACGGUGCUGAAGCAACAAAUGCCCUGCUUCCAGGAAAAGCCUCUAAGCAUCAGGUAACAUCAAAUCGUACCCCAAACCGACACAGGUGGUCAGGUAGAGAAUACCAAGGCGCUUGAGAGAACUCGGGUGAAGGAACUAGGCAAAAUGGUGCCGUAACUUCGGGAGAAGGCACGCUGACAUGUAGGUGAAGUGAUUUACUCAUGGAGCUGAAGUCAGUCGAAGAUACCAGCUGGCUGCAACUGUUUAUUAAAAACACAGCACUGUGCAAACACGAAAGUGGACGUAUACGGUGUGACGCCUGCCCGGUGCCGGAAGGUUAAUUGAUGGGGUCAGCGCAAGCGAAGCUCCUGAUCGAAGCCCCGGUAAACGGCGGCCGUAACUAUAACGGUCCUAAGGUAGCGAAAUUCCUUGUCGGGUAAGUUCCGACCUGCACGAAUGGCGUAAUGAUGGCCAGGCUGUCUCCACCCGAGACUCAGUGAAAUUGAACUCGCUGUGAAGAUGCAGUGUACCCGCGGCAAGACGGAAAGACCCCGUGAACCUUUACUAUAGCUUGACACUGAACAUUGAGCCUUGAUGUGUAGGAUAGGUGGGAGGCUUUGAAGUGUGGACGCCAGUCUGCAUGGAGCCGACCUUGAAAUACCACCCUUUAAUGUUUGAUGUUCUAACGUGGACCCGUAAUCCGGGUUGCGGACAGUGUCUGGUGGGUAGUUUGACUGGGGCGGUCUCCUCCUAAAGAGUAACGGAGGAGCACGAAGGUUGGCUAAUCCUGGUCGGACAUCAGGAGGUUAGUGCAAUGGCAUAAGCCAGCUUGACUGCGAGCGUGACGGCGCGAGCAGGUGCGAAAGCAGGUCAUAGUGAUCCGGUGGUUCUGAAUGGAAGGGCCAUCGCUCAACGGAUAAAAGGUACUCCGGGGAUAACAGGCUGAUACCGCCCAAGAGUUCAUAUCGACGGCGGUGUUUGGCACCUCGAUGUCGGCUCAUCACAUCCUGGGGCUGAAGUAGGUCCCAAGGGUAUGGCUGUUCGCCAUUUAAAGUGGUACGCGAGCUGGGUUUAGAACGUCGUGAGACAGUUCGGUCCCUAUCUGCCGUGGGCGCUGGAGAACUGAGGGGGGCUGCUCCUAGUACGAGAGGACCGGAGUGGACGCAUCACUGGUGUUCGGGUUGUCAUGCCAAUGGCACUGCCCGGUAGCUAAAUGCGGAAGAGAUAAGUGCUGAAAGCAUCUAAGCACGAAACUUGCCCCGAGAUGAGUUCUCCCUGAGACUUUAGGUCUCCUGAAGGAACGUUGAAGACGACGACGUUGAUAGGCCGGGUGUGUAAGCGCAGCGAUGCGUUGAGCUAACCGGUACUAAUGAACCGUGAGGCUUAACCUUACAACGCCGAAG